UGAGAAUCUGCUUGAACGGUACCACAAAACAACCAUUCACUCGACGUCAGCAAAACCAGAGAGCUGAUUAUAGCCUACAGGAGGAAGAAACUGGAGGUUCAUGAGCCAGUCCUCUUCAAUGGAUCGGAGGUGGAGAGGAUUCCUUCAAGGUAGGAAGAUUACCGCAGUCUUUUCACGAAGCUUCCAUUUCGCUCAUUCUCAAAAAGAAUAAGAAUCCUACUGAAUACUCUUCGUAUAGACCUAUCUAUUUACUCAAUUUUGAUACUAAAAUUUUAUCUAAAGUGUUGGCUCACAGACUUGAAAAUAUUAUAGCUUCUAUAGUUUCGGAUGAUCAGACAGGAUUUAUUAAAAAUUGAUAUUCCCAUUUUAAUAUAUGGUGUUUGUUAAAUGUUAUGCAUUCUCCAUCUAAGGAAAUAUUGGAACGUGUGAUAUCUGUGGAUGCAGUGAAGGCCUUUGACAGAGUUGAAUGGAAUUAUCUUUUUACAUCCUUAGAAAAAUUUAAUUUUGGACUUAAUUUUAUUCAUUGGAUUAAAUUACUUUAUUUAUUUCCCUCUGCUUACUAAUCUUCAGAAUUUUAAACCCUUUAAACUCCAACGUGGAACUAGCCCUCUGCUUUUUGAUUUGGUAUUAGAACCCUUAGUAAUUGCUUUUCGAGAGUCUAAAGAGAUUACUGGUAUUUUAAGGAGAGGUACUAUCCAUAAAGUGUCGCUCUAUGCUGAUGACUUAGUGCUUUUUAUAUCUAAUGUUGCAAUCUCUUUACUAUUUGUUUUCCGUCUACUGACUAAUUUUAGUCAGUUCUCAGGAUAUAAAUUAAAUUUACAUAAGAGUGAACUGUUUCCUUUAAAUAACUUAAUACCAACUGAUAUUAACCUUCCUUUUAAAAUUUUAAGAAAACAAUUUACAUAUUUAGGAGUAACAAUUACUAAAAAUUAUAAAGAUUUAUUCAAGGAAAAUUUUUUAACUUUAAUGAAUUACGUUAAAAAACAUUUUCUAAUUGGUGGCCUCUUCAUCACUGAUCCCGAAUUAAUUCUACUAAAAUGAAUAUCUUACCUAAAUUUAUAUACCUUUUUCAAGCUGUGCCUGUUUUUAUUCCUAAAUUUUUUUUGACUCUUUGGAUUCAAUUCUUUCUUCCCAUAUAUGGAAGAAUAAAAAACCUCGAAUAAAUAAAGCUCAUCUUCAAAAAGCCAAAUAGAACGGAGGCUUUGCCUUAUCCAAAAUUAGAUUAUAUUAUUGGGUAGUUAAUAUACAAAAUAUUAAAUUCUGGAUAUUACAUUAACCAUGAGAAAUGCCCUAUAUGGGUUCCUUUGGAAGUCAACUCUAUUACAAAAUUUUCCAUUAUUACUUUACUUGGAUCCUUGCUUCCUUUAUCUUAAAAUAAACUAACUGACAAUGUGGUGGUCAAACAUGCUUUAAGGAUUUGGUUACAAUUUAGAAAACAUUUUGGUUUAUGGAGAUUCUCCCUCUCGGGUCCCAUGUUUUCUAAUUGUUUUUUAAACCAUCUUUAAUUGAUCUACCUUUUAAAGAAUUGGAUAGAUUGGGUAUUAAAUGAUUUCAGGAUUUGUUUGAUGGAGGGAAUCUCUCCUCUUUAGUGCAACUUUAAACAAAAUUCUAAUUCUUUUUUUUCGAUACUUACAGAUUACAGAUUUUUUAAGAUCCCAACUACAUACAUUUCCUACAAGUCCAGAUAAGAAUUUAAUAGAUACAAUUUUUAAUCUGAAACCCUUAGACAACGGUUCAAUAUCUUACAUUUAUGGUCUGCUGUUGUGACUGAAAAAUGCCUCUUUAGAUAAAAUUAAAGGAGACUGGGAAAAGGAUUUACAGAUGUUCAUAUCUGAAGAGAGCUGGAAGAGUAUUUUAAAAUUGAUUUAUUCUUUAUCAUUAUAUGCUUGUCAUUCUUUAUUACAAUUCAAAGUGGUACAUAGAGUUCAUAUGUCUAAAGACAAGCUCUCUCGUUUCUUUGCCGAUAUUUCCCCCUACUGUGAUAGAUGCACUAAUGGAGUGGCCACACUAAUUCAUGUUUUGGACAUGUCCAAACCUUGAAAAAUUCUGGAAAGAUGUAUUUCAAACUUUUUCUGUACUUUUCAAUGUUACUUUUAAGCCCAAUCCCUUGACUGCCAUGUUUGGUAAUGUUGAGGAUGGUAUUACAAAACUGAAGCCAUUUAAUUUGCCGGUAUUGGCCUUUCUGUCUCUUAUGGCCAGGAGGGCGAUCUUGCUCAAGGGGAAGGAGGCUGCCUCACCCACUCAUGUUCAAUAACUAUCUGAAAUUAUGUUGUGCCUUGAUCUAGAGAAGAUUCGUUGUUCGAUUUCUGAUUCUAAACAUGAUUUUCUAAAGUUAUGGGGACCCUUUCUGAGUUAUUUUCAUAAUCUUUGAACUGUUAUUAAAGUAUGGAUCUGAGCCAUUAUUAUUAUAAUGUUAUAUGGUAUGGUAUUUUUUU